rnacentral:rRNA from 1 species
UUAAGCGACUAAGCGUACACGGUGGAUGCCCUGGCAGUCAGAGGCGAUGAAGGACGUGCUAAUCUGCGAUAAGCGUCGGUAAGGUGAUAUGAACCGUUAUAACCGGCGAUUUCCGAAUGGGGAAACCCAGUGUGUUUCGACACACUAUCAUUAACUGAAUCCAUAGGUUAAUGAGGCGAACCGGGGGAACUGAAACAUCUAAGUACCCCGAGGAAAAGAAAUCAACCGAGAUUCCCCCAGUAGCGGCGAGCGAACGGGGAGCAGCCCAGAGCCUGAAUCAGUAUGUGUGUUAGUGGAAGCGUCUGGAAAGGCGCGCGAUACAGGGUGACAGCCCCGUACACAAAAAUGCACAUGCUGUGAGCUCGAUGAGUAGGGCGGGACACGUGGUAUCCUGUCUGAAUAUGGGGGGACCAUCCUCCAAGGCUAAAUACUCCUGACUGACCGAUAGUGAACCAGUACCGUGAGGGAAAGCGAAAAGACCCCGGCGAGGGGAGUGAAAAAGAACCUGAAACCGUGUACGUACAAGCAGUGGGAGCACAGAGCAAUCUGUGUGACUGCGUACCUUUUGUAUAAUGGGUCAGCGACUUAUAUUCUGUAGCAAGGUUAACCGAAUAGGGGAGCCGAAGGGAAACCGAGUCUUAACUGGGCGUUAAGUUGCAGGGUAUAGACCCGAAACCCGGUGAUCUAGCCAUGGGCAGGUUGAAGGUUGGGUAACACUAACUGGAGGACCGAACCGACUAAUGUUGAAAAAUUAGCGGAUGACUUGUGGCUGGGGGUGAAAGGCCAAUCAAACCGGGAGAUAGCUGGUUCUCCCCGAAAGCUAUUUAGGUAGCGCCUCGUGAAUUCAUCUCCGGGGGUAGAGCACUGUUUCGGCAAGGGGGUCAUCCCGACUUACCAACCCGAUGCAAACUGCGAAUACCGGAGAAUGUUAUCACGGGAGACACACGGCGGGUGCUAACGUCCGUCGUGAAGAGGGAAACAACCCAGACCGCCAGCUAAGGUCCCAAAGUCAUGGUUAAGUGGGAAACGAUGUGGGAAGGCCCAGACAGCCAGGAUGUUGGCUUAGAAGCAGCCAUCAUUUAAAGAAAGCGUAAUAGCUCACUGGUCGAGUCGGCCUGCGCGGAAGAUGUAACGGGGCUAAACCAUGCACCGAAGCUGCGGCAGCGACGCUUAUGCGUUGUUGGGUAGGGGAGCGUUCUGUAAGCCUGUGAAGGUGUGCUGUGAGGUAUGCUGGAGGUAUCAGAAGUGCGAAUGCUGACAUAAGUAACGAUAAAGCGGGUGAAAAGCCCGCUCGCCGGAAGACCAAGGGUUCCUGUCCAACGUUAAUCGGGGCAGGGUGAGUCGACCCCUAAGGCGAGGCCGAAAGGCGUAGUCGAUGGGAAACAGGUUAAUAUUCCUGUACUUGGUGUUACUGCGAAGGGGGGACGGAGAAGGCUAUGUUGGCCGGGCGACGGUUGUCCCGGUUUAAGCGUGUAGGCUGGUUUUCCAGGCAAAUCCGGAAAAUCAAGGCUGAGGCGUGAUGACGAGGCACUACGGUGCUGAAGCAACAAAUGCCCUGCUUCCAGGAAAAGCCUCUAAGCAUCAGGUAACAUCAAAUCGUACCCCAAACCGACACAGGUGGUCAGGUAGAGAAUACCAAGGCGCUUGAGAGAACUCGGGUGAAGGAACUAGGCAAAAAUGGUGCCGUAACUUCGGGAGAAGGCACGCUGAUAUGUAGGUGAAGCGACUUGCUCGUGGAGCUGAAAUCAGUCGAAGAUACCAGCUGGCUGCAACUGUUUAUUAAAAACACAGCACUGUGCAAACACGAAAGUGGACGUAUACGGUGUGACGCCUGCCCGGUGCCGGAAGGUUAAUUGAUGGGGUCAGCGCAAGCGAAGCUCUUGAUCGAAGCCCCGGUAAACGGCGGCCGUAACUAUAACGGUCCUAAGGUAGCGAAAUUCCUUGACGGGUAAGUUCCGACCUGCACGAAUGGCGUAAUGAUGGCCAGGCUGUCUCCACCCGAGACUCAGUGAAAUUGAACUCGCUGUGAAGAUGCAGUGUACCCGCGGCAAGACGGAAAGACCCCGUGAACCUUUACUAUAGCUUGACACUGAACAUUGAGCCUUGAUGUGUAGGAUAGGUGGGAGGCUUUGAAGUGUGGACGCCAGUCUGCAUGGAGCCGACCUUGAAAUACCACCCUUUAAUGUUUGAUGUUCUAACGUUGACCCGUAAUCCGGGUUGCGGACAGUGUCUGGUGGGUAGUUUGACUGGGGCGGUCUCCUCCUAAAGAGUAACGGAGGAGCACGAAGGUUGGCUAAUCCUGGUCGGACAUCAGGAGGUUAGUGCAAUGGCAUAAGCCAGCUUGACUGCGAGCGUGACGGCGCGAGCAGGUGCGAAAGCAGGUCAUAGUGAUCCGGUGGUUCUGAAUGGAAGGGCCAUCGCUCAACGGAUAAAAGGUACUCCGGGGAUAACAGGCUGAUACCGCCCAAGAGUUCAUAUCGACGGCGGUGUUUGGCACCUCGAUGUCGGCUCAUCACAUCCUGGGGCUGAAGUAGGUCCCAAGGGUAUGGCUGUUCGCCAUUUAAAGUGGUACGCGAGCUGGGUUUAGAACGUCGUGAGACAGUUCGGUCCCUAUCUGCCGUGGGCGCUGGAGAACUGAGGGGGGCUGCUCCUAGUACGAGAGGACCGGAGUGGACGCAUCACUGGUGUUCGGGUUGUCAUGCCAAUGGCACUGCCCGGUAGCUAAAUGCGGAAGAGAUAAGUGCUGAAAGCAUCUAAGCACGAAACUUGCCCCGAGAUGAGUUCUCCCUGACUCCUUGAGAGUCCUGAAGGAACGUUGAAGACGACGACGUUGAUAGGCCGGGUGUGUAAGCGCAGCGAUGCGUUGAGCUAACCGGUACUAAUGAACCGUGAGGCUUAACCUU